GCAUAUAGCACUUGAUCUGACUGUCUUCAUCCAUCCACUUUUCUAAAGCAACUCUCUGCUCGGUAGUAGGAUGGUUUGGCAACACAAUGAGAUUCUGGUUGAAAAUAUGGCUUAACUUUUUUGAGGUCAAGACAAUCUUGAGAUUUUUGAGCCAGUCUUUGUAAUUAUUACUGGUCAAAUGAUUGGUUUUAAGGAUGCGAGCU
rnacentral:lncRNA from 1 species